UCUACGACCGCACCUACAUAUUUUUGCAUGUUUACAAUUCUAAUUUUGAACAGCCAAUCCAGUUCUUGGUAACAAUUACAAUUAAACGUCGAUUGGCUGUUUAAUUUAAAAUUUGAAUUGUAAACAUGCAAAAAUAUGUAGGUGUAGUCGUAGA